AUUGAACGCUAGCGGGAUGCUUUACACAUGCAAGUCGAACGGUAGCACGAAGAAAGCUUGCUUUCUUUGGUGACGAGUGGCGAACGGGUGAGUAAUGUAUCGGAACGUACCCAGUAGCGGGGGAUAACUACGCGAAAGCGUGGCUAAUACCGCAUACGCCCUACGGGGGAAAGGGGGGGAUCGCAAGACCUCUCACUAUUGGAGCGGCCGAUAUCGGAUUAGCUAGUUGGUGGGGUAAAGGCCCACCAAGGCGACGAUCCGUAGCUGGUUUGAGAGGACGACCAGCCACACUGGGACUGAGACACGGCCCAGACUCCUACGGGAGGCAGCAGUGGGGAAUUUUGGACAAUGGGGGCAACCCUGAUCCAGCCAUCCCGCGUGUGCGAUGAAGGCCUUCGGGUUGUAAAGCACUUUUGGCAGAGAAGAAACGACUCUGGAUAAUACCCGGGGUUAAUGACGGUAUCUGCAGAAUAAGCACCGGCUAACUACGUG
rnacentral:rRNA from 1 species